AUAAGAGGGGAGUGGUGUAUUGAUAAGAGGGGAGAGGUGUAUUGAUAAGAGGGGAGAGGUGUAUUGAUAAGAGGGGAGUGGUGUAUUGAUAAGAGGGGAGAGGUGUAUUGAUAAGAUCACUAAGGGGAGUGGUGUAUUGAUAAGAUCACUAAGGGGAGUGGUGUAUUGAUAAGAGGGGAGAGGUGUAUUGAUAAGAUGGGAGAGGUGUAUUGAUAAGAGCACUAAGGGGAGUGGUGUAUUGAUAAGAGGGGAGAGGUGUAUUGAUAAGAGCACUAAGGGGAGUGGUGUAUUGAUAAGAGGGGAGUGGUGUAUUGAUAAGAGCACUAAGGGGAGUGGUGUAUUGAUAAGAGGGGAGAGGUGCAUUGAUAAGAGCACUAAGGGGAGUGUC